rnacentral:rRNA from 1 species
CCGUUCGCGGCCUAUCCAGCUUGUUGGUGGGGUAACGGCCUUACCAAGGCGAUUACGGGUAGCCGGCCUGAGAGGGCGACCGGCCACACUGGGACUGAGACACGGCCCAGACUCCUGCGGGAGGCAGCAGUGGGGAAUAUUGCGCAAUGGGCGAAAGCCUGACGCAGCGACGCCGCGUGGGGGAUGACGGCCUUCGGGUUGUAAACCUCUUUUACCACCAACGCAGGCUCCGGGAUUCCUCCUCGGGGUUGACGGUAGGUGGGGAAUAAGGAGCGGCUAACUACGUGCCAGCAGCCGCGGUAAUACGUAGGGUCCGAGCGUUGUCCGGAAUUAUUGGGCGUAAAGAGCUCGUAGGCGGCGUGUCGCGUCUGCUGUGAAAGACCGGGGCUUAACUCCGGUUCUGCAGUGGAUACGGGCAUGCUAGAGGUAGGUAGGGGAGACUGGAAUUCCUGGUGUAGCGGUGAAAUGCGCAGAUAUCAGGAGGAACACCGGUGGCGAAGGCGGGUCUCUGGGCCUUACCUGACGCUGAGGAGCGAAAGCAUGGGGAGCGAACAGGAUUAGAUACCCUGGUAGUCCAUGCCGUAAACGUUGGGCGCUAGGUGUGGGGACUUUCCACGGUUACGCGCGACGUAGCUAGAGCAUACGAUUAUGACGCCCGCCGGGGGGGGAAGAACGGAA